GUGUAUAUAUAAUAUAUUGUGUAUGAAUAUAUAUACCAUAUAUUGAAAUGGUUAAAUAUAUAAACAAUAACACCAAACAACAACCUUACAAAUAAUGAACUUUCAAUUACUCAUGAAAAUCAUCCAUCUUUAAAACAGUAUUUUUUAGCAAAUUUAUAGCAAUAGGAAUAUAUAUUUCUUUUUCAGAGAAGACAUUCUAUGAAGACUAGCUAGCAGGGUGGAAAGAACGGUGAAGCAUUCCAGUCAUCACUGUGCUGCCAAUAUGAAUGAAGACCCAGAGGGAAAAGGAGGCAGAGGAGCUGCCAAAAACAGGCAAUGGAAGAAAGUCUUUGUGUGUUCCACGAGAGCAGGUCCUCAACACCUGAAGCUGCUGCCUUUGCUGUCACUCAUUCCUUUGUGUACUGACUUCAACAAUCCUUAAAUACCCAGAACAAGAGAGUAGGAGAGAUGAAGCAGUCAACAAUGCUACAUUCCCAAACAUUGACAUUUUCUCAGAUCGUGACCACAAGGCCUGGACUAUGAAGCAGAGAUGAAUAUCCUUUGCCAGAGGGUCAAGCUCACAGUAAAUAGG
rnacentral:lncRNA from 1 species